GGAAAACAAAUGAACCCAAUCCAGCUCGCUAUCACCCUGUGUAUGGUGGAGGCGGGUGGUAGGUGCCGUCCGUGGUGGCGGGAGAUGUGGUGUUUGAGAUGAGACAACAGUGGUGCAAUUUGAAGGCUAAUGGAAUGGAUAAUGUAGAUAAGAGGUGAUGUGACUGUGAGCGUGAUACUGGAAGUGGUGGCGCAGGCGAAGUGCCAGUGGCUGACGAUGGUGAAAUUUUUCUGUUUACGCAAGGCAGCUAUAAUUUCUUAUCUAAUUUUUAGAAGAGACCUCAAAUUUGUCUUCAUCGCCGUUACGUUAGUGGAAACCCCCACCCCCUCCCCCCCCACUUAACAAAUACUCGGGAAGCCUGGUUCGACUGAUGAGCUUUUACAUUAUCUUUGUGUGUUUGUGUUCAGGUACCUUAAAGGAAAUAAGCUUAAUGGAUCAAUCCCCACAUGGCUCGCUGGUUCAAAAACCUUACAUGCGUAUGUCUUCGUAUUCAUACUUUUCUCGUAGCUAUUGUUUCUUAAUGUGGAGUGUUGUACACCACUACACUAAUACUCCAUUGAUUUUACAAUUUCUUAAUGUUUUCAGAAGGGUUUUGAGAAAAUAAUAUGCCUUGCUAUUAUGGAAUGGUUACAAGAGCUACAUUUCCUACUAUGACCCAUUACGCCUUGAAUAAUGUGAAAAUUUUUGGGCAAGACACUUCUUAAAUCAUCAAUAAUGAAUACCAAGGAGGCAAGGACCAUAAUUUCAGACAAAGAUGACUAAGAAUUGAUUUCCAACUUUGUUUUUUUAAUGAAACUUUCAUACCUUCAAAAUUUUCAGGGUUACUGUUUGAAAUAUUUCUUGCCAAUUUUAUGAUUAUAUUUCAGGGACAUCUCAGAAAAUAAUUUUACAAGCGUAUCCAUACAACCAGAAGGCAUAGCCCCAAAUGUGUAAGAGACACAUGUCAAUGACGCUACCCUUUGUGCUAUAUCUUCACCUCUAUCACUAAUUUAACUUUAUUCUUGUAUUAGUUACAUAAUGACGUGUUGUAGUUCAUAUAUUUGUCAGGAACUCUUUUGCAUGCUGUGCUGAAACAGCAAAUCUGAGCACGGCAUGGCAGAGAGUUGACUACUAUUGCCCCAUUGCUAAAUCAUUGAAUGAUCACUUGUAUAUAAACUGUGGCGGAGAGGGGGUGCUAAUUAAUGGAGUUCAUUAUCAAGCUGAUACACAACCUGAUGGAGGAUCAACGUUCUUUUUAAGUGAUGAUACAAGUUGGGGUUACAGUAGUGAAGGGAUUUUUAUGGACACAGGCCAUGAACAGUACAUUCUGAAAAAAUCAUGUGGAAUUCCCAGCGAUUAUGCACCUCUAUAUAAGACAGCUCGUGUUUCACCUAUCUCCCUGAAGUAUUAUGGUUUUUGUAUGAAAAAUGAAAAAUACAUGGUGAAACUUCACUUUGCGGAGAUUAUGUAUGGAGAAAAUAAAGAUCCUAGUAGCAAGGGGAAGCGUUUGUUUGAUGUGGCAAUUCAGGGCAAGAAGGUAUUGGAAAAUUUCAAUAUUAGAGAAUCUGCUAUGGGUGUGAAUAAAAAUGUAACUUUGGACUUCAUUGCUACUGUGAGGAACCAUCGACUGGAGAUCCACUUGUAUUGGACUGGCAAGGGCUCAAUUCGUACUCCAAUGGAAUAUUAUGGUCCUCUUAUAUCUGCUAUUUCUGUUUUUCCUGUUCCUAGAAAACCCGGCACAAAAUUAUCACCAAUGAUUAUUGCUGCUCUCAUAGGAUCUGCAUUGCUUCUCCCACUAUUAAUUUUAGUUUUCAUGCGUAAACAAGGCUUUCUUGGUGGAAAAGAUUUGCAUAGCAAAGAACUAAAAGGUCUUGAACUACAACCAGGAGUUUCUUUGAACUUCCGGCAAAUAAAAGCUGCCACACGGAACUUCAAUCCUGUGAACAAGAUUGGUGAAGGAGGUUUUGGAUCUGUAUAUAAGGGUGUACUUCCAAAUGGGACGGCAAUAGCAGUCAAACAACUGUCAUCAAAAUCAAAGCAAGGCACUCGUGAGUUUGUAAAUGAAGUGGGAACUAUUUUUGCAUUGCAACAUCCAAAUCUUGCUAAGCUAUUGGGUUGUUGCGCAGAAGAUAACCAACUCUUGCUCGUCUAUGAGUACAUGGAAAAUAAUUCCCUUGCACAUGUGUUAUUUGGUUCAGAGGAGCUAAGGUUGAAACUCAACUGGCCAAUUAGGUUCAAAAUCUGCCUUGGUAUAGCUAAGGGUCUGGCUUUUCUCCAUGAAGAAUCUAAGCUGAAGGUUGUCCAUAGAGAUAUCAAACCCACAAAUGUGCUGCUUGACAAGGAUCUCAAUGCAAAAAUAUCGGACUUUGGACUUGCUAAACUCUAUGAAGCAGAGAAGACACAUGUUAUCACUAGAAUUGCUGGAACAACAGGAUACAUGGCUCCAGAGUAUGCCAUGCGGGGCCAUUUAACAAAUAAAGCAGAUGUUUACAGCUUUG
rnacentral:misc_RNA from 1 species